CACAUGCACGCGGGAGGGGGGGAGCGAACGGGCGGCGGCUGCCUCCACCCGGAAAGGCGUCCUGCGCUCCAGCUCGCGGCUGUCAGCACGUGCAACAGCCUGCGCCUUCCACGAGCGCCGAGACGUCGGAAAAACAGUCGCUCUUCUCCGUCAAAGUUCACUUCCUCCUCCUCGCUCCCCUGAGCAGCUUGCACGCGCACGCACACCCAAAAGUGAAUGCCAACACCCCAAAGUUCUCGGGAGAAAAGUCUAAGACACACAGAGAGAGGCGGAGACACAGGCAGAGGGAGAAGCAGGCCCCAUGCAGGGAGCCCGACGUGGGACUCGAGCCCAGGUCUCCGGGAUCAGGCCCUGGGCUGCAGGCGGCGCUAAACCGCUGCGCCACCCAGGCCGCCCGUCCUCUCCCCCAGAUUUACCCACCGGGCAUCUCCAGCAAAGAACGAGGGGCGAAGAGGAGUUCCGCAUUUCAUUCUCGAGAACUGAAAGCCCAGUCUGCACUCUUGCAGUAGAGAAACUAUUUCUCAUCUAAGAGUUCCAGGAACUGCAUCAGUUUUUUUGUUUUAUUAUUAUUUUUAACCAUGUAGAGUGAAACUAUUGUAAAAGCUUGUCCUGACUGUGAA